GAGCAAGGGCGUCAAUAUUAUAAGAUGACGUGAUUUUUGCAUUGAAGGUUGGUGAUAUUGACCAGAAGCGAUUCUCCGUGCCUUUCAAAUUUCUCUUGGUUUUGAUUAUGGCCUCGAACAAGUCGCUACAUU